AGAGUUUGAUCCUGGCUCAGAUUGAACGCUGGCGGCAUGCCUUACACAUGCAAGUCGAACGGUAACGCGGGGCAACCUGGCGACGAGUGGCGAACGGGUGAGUAAUGUAUCGGAACGUGCCCAGUUGUGGGGGAUAACUGCUCGAAAGAGCAGCUAAUACCGCAUACGACCUGAGGGUGAAAGCGGGGGAUCGCAAGACCUCGCGCAAUUGGAGCGGCCGAUAUCAGAUUAGGUAGUUGGUGGGGUAAAGGCUCACCAAGCCAACGAUCUGUAGCUGGUCUGAGAGGACGACCAGCCACACUGGGACUGAGACACGGCCCAGACUCCUACGGGAGGCAGCAGUGGGGAAUUUUGGACAAUGGACGCAAGUCUGAUCCAGCCAUGCCGCGUGCGGGAAGAAGGCCUUCGGGUUGUAAACCGCUUUUGUCAGGGAAGAAACGCUCUGGGUUAAUACCUCGGGGUAAUGACGGUACCUGAAGAAUAAGCACCGGCUAACUACGUGCCAGCAGCCGCGGUAAUACGUAGGGUGCAAGCGUUAAUCGGAAUUACUGGGCGUAAAGCGUGCGCAGGCGGUUAUGCAAGACAGAGGUGAAAUCCCCGGGCUCAACCUGGGAACUGCCUUUGUGACUGCAUAGCUAGAGUACGGUAGAGGGGGAUGGAAUUCCGCGUGUAGCAGUGAAAUGCGUAUAUAUGCUGAUGAACACCUA
rnacentral:rRNA from 1 species